rnacentral:rRNA from 1 species
UACGUAGGUGGCAAGCGUUGUCCGGAAUUAUUGGGCGUAAAGCGCGCGCAGGCGGCCGCGUAAGUCUGAUGUGAAAGCCCGGGGCUCAACCCCGGUGUGCAUUGGAAACUGUGCGGCUUGAGUGCAGGAGAGGAAAGCGGAAUUCCACGUGGAGCGGUGAAAUGCGUAGAGAUGUGGAGGAACACCAGUGGCGAAGGCGGCUUUCUGGCCUGUAACUGACGCUGAGGCGCGAAAGCGUGGGGAGCAAACA